rnacentral:rRNA from 1 species
UACGUAGGUGGCAAGCGUUUAUCCGGAAUUAUUGGGCGUAAAGCGCUCGCAGGCGGUUUCUUAAGUCUGAUGUGAAAGCCCACGGCUCAACCGUGGAGGGUCAUUGGAAACUGGGAGACUUGAGUGCAGAAGAGGAGAGUGGAAUUCCACGUGUAGCGGUGAAAUGCGUAGAGAUGUGGAGGAACACCAGUGGCGAAGGCGACUCUCUGGUCUGUACUGACGCUGAGGCACGAAAGCGUGGGGAGCAAACAGG